rnacentral:tRNA from 1 species
GGUAUAGUUCAGUGGUAGAGCACUUGCCUUAUAGUUGCAAGGCCCUGGGUUCCAUCCCCAGCACCA